ACUCUGGCCACACCAUCUGGGACCUCCCUUGGGUUGAGGGCUCUGCUGAAGCAAUCCCCACAGCCCAGCAGGCACUGCCAGCUCCACUGCCUCUUCGCACAUCUUCCCCCGGGCCACUGCCCAGUUCAGCUGACAGGAGGUGAGACCCGCAGAGCUGGUUCCUCUUGAUCGCCUCUCCCCAUGGCAAGAGUAGUCAGGAAUGGUUAGCAGCGUUUACUGAGAGCUCACUGUGCCAGGUGCUGCUGUUCCUCACAUUUAAACCUCUCCUUAGCUGGGUGCCAUGACUCACAUCUUUAUGUAGUCCCAGCACUUUGAGAGGCCGAGGCGGGUGGAUCACCUGAGGUUAGGAGUUCAAGACCAGCCUGGCCAACGUGGCGAAACCCUGUCUCUACUAAAAAUAAAAAAUUAGCUGGGUGUGGUGGCAGACACCCGUAAUCUCAGCUACUCGGGAGGCUGAGGCAGGAGAAUCACUUGAACCUGGGAGGUGGAGGUUGCAGUAAGCUCAGAUUGCGCCACUGCCCUCCAACCUGGGCAACAAGAGCGAGACUCCAUCUCAAAUAAAUAAAUAAACCUCUCCUUAACUGCGUGUGGGAGGCUGAUAGGUGAGGAAACAGAAGUAGGCCAGAGUGAGGUGUUCGUCAUGGCAAAGCCAUCUUCCAUCCUUUUACCACCUCUUGGUCCCACUUUAUGCAUAAGGAAAAACAGCCAUCAAAAGAGAUAGCCUGUGGCAUGACUGUAUCAACAUCAGUAUCCUUAUAUUUGGUUGCAAAAUUAUAGUUUUGUAAGGGGUUAACCUUUUGGGGGAGCUGGGUAAAAGGCACAUGGGAUCUCCCUCUGUGCUAUUUCUUUUAACUGCGAGUGAAUCUACAACUGUCUCAAAAUAAAAGUUU
rnacentral:lncRNA from 10 species